rnacentral:lncRNA from 1 species
GCUAAAUUACAAAAACCAACUUAAUUACAAGAAUAACUACUCAUGUUCUUUUCCUCAACCCCGAAUGAGGGUGUUUAUCUAAUCAUGGAAUUACAAAGAAUCACAAUUAAGGGAUUCAUGCUCAUAAUACAAAAGUAAAAUAAGGGAAAUGAUAAAAAAACCUAAGAGAAGCCAUGUCAAGUGUAUUCCAAGCCCCAAAGGUCGUCCAAGAUGUGUAUAGUACAAUAGGAGUGUUCUUUUACACUUGGAAACAAUUGGCCGAUUUUGACACUCCAACAUGAAACACCCCUAUCGCGGAGGAUAGGGAGCGUGGCACGCCCUUAUCGAAGAGGUUAACUGGAAAUUAUACUUUAGUUUUUGACAAAGGGCGUGGAAUGCCCUUAAUGGGGAUAUCCAAGGGUGUGACAUGCCCUUGUGCUCAAAUUUUCUAGAUUUCGUUCAUACUAACUCUUUCCAUUUGGCUUUGAGUUCCUUACUUCAUGGUUAUUUUCCCCCUGUAAAAUCAGCUUGUAUAUCAUCCCGUACUUGAUUUUAACAUCCCACAAAGCUUCCUAUAUCAUCAAAAAACACGAAUUAGAUCUUAAAAACAAUAGAAUUUGAUAAGAUCAACAAGCACAAUCACAGAUCUCAAGCUAAGAACACUAGCUUUCUCAUCUUAACUUUAAGUGCAUGUUUUAACUCCAAACUUGGUUUAAACACACCUUAAACAUUAAAAACAAGUCUCGUAACACUUAGGUCCUCAAUUAUGUGAAUAUAAAUCAUUAUGCACACGAGAAGUAAUCGAUAUUAGGCAAAUUAAGUCUAGAUAAGAACACUUCUGUGCAUAAAUUCACCUAAGAUCAUCACCCCACACUUAAAACCCUGUUCAUCCUCGAACAACUCUUUAACUUAAUCACCAUAUUAGGGAAAAAUCCAUGUUACGACUAUAUGUAAGAUACUCAAGCUAGCACUACAAUGACUACACAAAUAGCAAGUUUCAUUCUCAAGCAUGUCACAUACUUUUGAAACUCAUGAAUAAUACUUCAAAACACUUUCACCUCAAGAAUUAACUCCACCAAGUUAGUAAAAUCAUGCAUAUUACCUAAUCAAAUAGAUCACAUGAAUUACCUAGUAUCAUUAAACAUGUUCCCUCACCACAAGAGAGAUUUUCCCAUAUUCACUCAUAAAGAUGCAACUUUAUUAUUUGAAUGGGCAAUAGAAUCAAAUUUUUCUUGCUUUCACAAAAAAAUGCACGUCACAUAAAAUGAACCAUAGGCUUUUCCUUAGGAUAGUACUUUGCUAAUACCAGAAUGCUAAGUUUUAAGAUUAAAUAGGACUUCAAAGAUUGUAAUGUAAGCUAAGGAAUGGGUAUGCACUAGUCUUUCCAGUAAUAGGACUAUCUUCUCUAAGCGCAUUAAUACAUCACAUAUAAAAUUGAACUCUUUCUAAGCAACUACACUUUCAGUACCUCUACCUUCACAUAUCUUUUUUGUUUUCCCAUCUCUUUAACCUUAUUUGCAUAUAUUAAGGAAGGAGUUUUCUCUAUCACCACAUGAUUGUUUUUUAUCCUUUUAUUACAUUUACGAACCACAACAUAUAAACUUUUUCAACACCACUAGCUACUACUUUAGGACUUCACUUUUACCUCUUUCCUUCUUAAAUUUCACACUUCUUAACCUUAUUAAUUUCUUAACUAACGUGAUUAGAAUCUUUGGAUGAACUCAUGGUUAAUAAAAGAAGGGUAACACGCUACAUAUGAGGCUACCAAAGAAAUAGGCUAAGACUCAAUGGGGAUAACAAUUAUUUUACACAAGGGUAGAUAAAAGAAGGUAUGAAAUAUCUCUAUCAAAGAAAUGUCUAUAUCAUCUUCUAAACCCACAUUCUUUAUUUUGCUUUGCACAUACACUAGGCAAUUCUACACAUUAAUAUGCAACAAGGAAUACAUAACAAAGGACCUCACAUGACACAUGACACAUGUUCAAAUCAAGUAGGCUUAUUAUAGACUCUAAACCAAGCAAUAACAUAAAAUCGCAUUUAAGCCCACAUCGUACAAGAGUCACAAACAUGAUCCUAGGUAUCUCUUAAGUAGUUAUUAAUCACAUUCAGCAUGCUUUCAUAUUUAAACCUACUUUCAUUAUGUAAUCACAUAUAGAAACUAGAAAGAAUAUCUCAAUUAUUACUGAUAGAAAAAUAUUAAAAUCUACUCCUAAAAAUAAAAAUAGGAUACUGGGUUCAAUGGGCACCCCAACAGAACAUAACCAAAAAGAAAAACUAAGGAGUGGGUGAGUGCGCACCUACUAGACUGGCACCAAAAACUAAAAUAAACCAAAUAAAUAUAAUUUUUUUUAAUUCUUUCAAAUUUAGUCAAAAGCUAGGAACACAACUAAGAAUGAAAAACUUAUAUGAACAAUGCACCCUUAAACAUGAACUUCAAAUUAUGACUAUCCUUGAUCUCGAGUCAUUUGAUGUUUGGGGUAUUGAAUUUAUGGACCUAUUUAUGAACUCGCAUGGGAUAAAAUACACCUUGGUGAUUGUGGACUGUGUCCAAGUUGGUGGAAAAAAUUGCGCUUUCAAGUAAUGAAGGAAGGAAUGUCACAACCUUUUUGAAAAAGAACAUUUUCUCUAGAUUUGGUACCCCCAAAAUAUCAUUAGUGAUGGAGGCUCUCACUUUUGCAAUAUUCUCUUCAAAAUGUUGCUUGAUAAAAAUAGUGUCAAACAAAAGGAGGUAACACCUUACCAUCCUCAGACAAGUAGACAUGUUGAGGUAUUCAAUCAAGAGAUCAAGUCUGGAUUGGCAAAGACUGUGAAUGCAAAUAGAACAGACUGGGGUAGAUGGUUGGAUGAUGCAUUAUGGGCCUACCAAACAACAUUUAAGAACCCUAUAGGUGCAUCUACAAAUUAGCUUGUGUAUGAAAAGGUAUGCCACUUGCCUAUUGAACUUGAGCAUAAGGCAUUAUGGGCAUUGAGGAGCUUAAUGUGGAAUGGAGUGAUACGGUAAAAUUGAGAUUAGAGUAGAUGAACGAGAUAGAUGAAUUUCAUCUCUGUUCCUAUGAGAGUCUCUCCUUAUAAAAAGAAAAUAUAAAAUCAUACCAUGACCGAUAGAUUGAGCAAAGAGAAUUCCACUCAACUGACUUGGUUCUGCAUUAUAAUUCAAGGCUUAGAUUGUUUCCUGGUAAGAUGAGGUCCAAAUGGUCUAGACCAUUCACUGUGGUAAGGGUAUUUCCAUAUAGUGCAAUCAAGAUAAAAGGGGAUGAUGGUUUCCCAUUUAGGGUAAAUAGCCAGUGAAUGAAGCACUAUAUGGGAACUACAGAUGUAAAUAGAUAGCGAGUGAAGCCCUAUGUGGGAACUAUAGAAGAGAUAAGGGCAUAUGAAAAUUUAAACCUUGAUGAUAUUAAAUCAGGCACUCAUAGGAGGCAACCUAUAGACUAGUUGGCGAAGUCUGAGAAACCAAUUUAGUCAUGUCGUGCCACGAUGUUAAAUCAAGUGCUUCUUGGGAUACAACCUAUGUUUUGUAUGUUAUAUUUUAUAGGGUAAUAUUUGUUACUAGUGUAGGGAUUAUGUAGGAAAAAGGAUAUGUUUGACUGAUGUGUGAGCUAAUGCUAACAUAUAUGAGGCUUUUAGCUAAGAAUAAUUGCAAAGUCUUAAGCAACUCUUGUCAUUUUUGAUUGCUUUAUGUUUGAUUUUGCAGUAGAGGCUAAGAUGCUUGAGAACCAACAAGAAUGGAAGCAAAUAAGCUGAAAUCUGAGGUAAAUAAAGGCAAAGUAUGGCUGACAACAUUUGUGAUAAGUCAUCAGCCCUGUGAUAAGCUAUCAACUUCAUCGUCAACAGUAGAUAGAGAAUUGGCCUAAGUUGAAAGCUGUGAUGACAUUUUGUAUAGGACGUUAAGGAGAUGAUAAGUCAUCAAGAUUGCCAUCAACCUAAGGCAGAACAUGAGAGCUGAGAAAAAGCCUUGACGAUAUUUUAGAUAGGUCAUUAAGGAGCUGAUAGGGCAUCGCUGUUUGUCAUCAGUGUUAGGAAGCGAGUACCAAAAGCAUAAAGAAAGAUGAUGACAUUUGUGAUAAGUCAUCAGCCUCUUAAUAGGCUAUCACAAAUGGCGUUACCUAAUCCAAGAAAUUUUUGAAUUUUAUUAUUUUUUUUCCAUAAUUAGGGUGAACUAUUUAAAGCCUUGUUUAGGGUUUUCUUGAGGGUUCCAAACAUUGAGUUUUGAGAUGAUACUUUGAUAUUUUCUCUCUAACUUCUUGGCUUGAAAAAGCAAUUACUUUGAAGAGAAUUUAAUCAUUAUUUUGGGAUUUCCAUUGUGAUUUAAUCAGAGAAUCUCUAGUUUCUAUUCAUCUUGUGGUAAGUUUAUCUUUCACAACAUGAAUUCAUCUAGUUUCUUCGAUUAUUAUGUCAUGAGCGGUUAAAUUCCUUAAAUUAGAAUUAUGAGAUCUAGGGUUAGGUCUUGAUAAGGUUCUGAGUGUUCAGGAUUCGAAAGGUGGUAGGACUUCUUGAUAAUUCUAAUGUUUUAAUUAUUAUCUGUUGGUCGCAAAUAAUAGAUAACACCUACUUUGAUUUUCUUGAGAAAGAAAUUAAAUAUAGUGGGAAGUGAAUUAUCAACAGGGACUUGGAAACACUAAACUUCUAUUUAAUAAUCAGCACUGUACAAAGGUUGGUUAACCUGAGGUAAAAUCUGGGCAGUGAAUAUAAAUUCCUUAAGUCCAAUAAGAUUAGUCAAUUAAAUGCUUAAGUAGAUUUUUAAGAUCAUCACUACUUCCUAAUGAGCCCACUUGAAAGUUUGAUGUAAAAUUGGGCAAGCGGUUAAGUUUUUGAAAUGGUGUGAUAGAACAUUCCUUAUCAUGCCCUCACCUUUGCCCAAUGGACCUAAAAGAAGUAAAGAUUGAAAGAUGGGCCAACAAUUUAAAUCAUCUAAGUGGAGGGAUAAAGGAUGAAACACUUUCAAGGUAUCUUGAUGAAUUCUGAGUAGUCAAGAUAAUCUGGUCGUGCCUCGAUAUUAAAUCAGCUGCAACUUGGGAGGCAACCCAAGGUAGUUUGUUGUUUGUAUUCAUAUUAUGUGAUUGACAUCAGAUCUUUGCACACAUGGUUCCAUAAGUAUGUUUCUAACUUUCUUGUUUUGGUUUGAUGCGUUGGGGCAAUUGCAUGAUUCUAAGUUCAGGUUGUUAGGACUACUUAUGGGUGUUGAUGUCCUCUUGGGGUUUUCGUUCCUAUGCCUCUUUUCCCUGGAGUCCUGUUCCUAGCAGAGCUGACAUAUUUAGGCGUAUUAUGUUUUAUUUUAUAAUGUGUUGUGCUUAACUGGGAAAAAAAGUAUCUACGGUAGUUGACAUAUUUUUGUCAAUUUUUGAACACCUCUUCAAAGGUCUCUUUUAUAACUGUGUGAUAUGCUUUUAUGUGUUACCACUUUGCAUCUUGUUAUGACAUUAAUACAAGUGACAUGAUAACCAUUGCUAAAAAAUUGCAUGAACCGGAGAAGUAGUAACUUGUGAUAUACUUGUGUGUUAUGUGCGUGUGAGAUUUUACUUAGCUCCCUUUGUAUGUUGGAUUCAGAACUUGUUCGAUUAGUCUUACCUAGGUUGAAGGAUAGGGGUUAGGAAAGGAUCAUUGGCUAUUUUAAUAUUAGCCCACUUUAGCCUAAAUGACCUUCCCUGUAUGCAUAAUAUCUCAUAAUCCCUAUUUUGAGCCUGAAUAACCUAUCUCUUUUUAUGAUACCUAUCACCGUCUUAUUUUUAUAUCAUAAUGAACCUAUUGGCCCUGGUCCUCCUUGUACACUGUGCACCUUGAAUUAGGCAAAUGACCUAAAUUGAGGAUGACUAUCAUAAGGGUGCUUGAUGUAAAAUGAGUACAAAGAAAGUUAGAUUAAAAGAAAAGAACAAGAAGCUGGGUGCGCUAAAAAAGAGAAAGAAAAGAAAAGUUGUGAAAAAAAAGAAGUGAUUGUAGAAAAGAACUGCACCCAUCCUGAAUAAGUGUAAUCUAGAAAAAAGAUGAAUAGAAAAAUUCAAAUAAGUGAAACCCCAAAAGCUAGUGUAUUGUUAAGGAGGGUAAGUCACUUUAAAUACCAUCGAGUAUCAUUCUAGCCACUAGCCUACAUUACAAGCCAAAGAGAAGACCUAUAGUGAUACUAGCUGACGUGUCUGAAAGUCUUGGUAAUGAAAAUAAGGGCAAGCCUAUCAUAUUUGGCAUACACUAAUUGGAACUUCAUUAUGAGAGUGAGUUUUUAGUGAUUGUAUCCAUGGUUACAUAUGUAAUGUCAGAUAUAAGUGAAGUUGAAUUUCUUUGUAGUGAGGGCACACUGAUUAUAUUGCUAGUUACUGACUUGUUUGGUUAUUGUAAACUUGAUACAGGCAUAGUUGUAUUGCUGAGGUUGUGUCAUAUCUUGAUUCCUGUGUGUUGCAUUGUUGUUCUUCAAUAGUAUACACAGUUGUUCUUGAAUUGACUGACCUUGGAGAUGGUGAAGAUAUUUUGAUAUGAUAUAGAUGAUUAACUGCCAAAUGUACUUUGUAUUCUCUUAGUUGUGCUGAGUUGCUUGAGGAUAAGCAAUUGUUUUAACUUGAGGGUGUCGAUGUGUGAGCUAAUGCUAUAAUAUUUGAGGCUUUUAACUAAGAAUAAUUGUGAAGUCUUAAGCAACUUUUAUCAUUUUUUGAUUGUUUUAUGUUUGAUUUUGCAGUAGAGGCUAAGAUGCUAGAUUACCAACAAGAAUGGAAGCAAAUAAUCUAAAAUCUGAAGUGAUAAAGGCAAAGUGUUGCUGAUGACAUUUGUGAUAAGUCGUCAUCCCUGUGAUAAGCUAUCAGCUUCAUCGUUAGCAGUAGACAGAGAGUUGGCCUAAGUUGAAAGCUGUGAUGACAUUUUGUGAUAGAACGUCAAGGAGCUGAUAAGUCGUUAAGCUUGUCAUCGGCCUAAGGCAAACAUGAGAGUUGAGGAAAAGCCAUGAUGACAUUUCUGAUAGGUCAUCAAGGAGAUGAUAGGGCAUCACCAUUUAUCGUCAGCAUUAGGCAGCGAGUACUAAAAGCAUAAACAAAGCUGACGACAUUUGUGAUAAGUUGUCAACCUCCUGAUAGGCUAUCCUAAAUCAAAUCACCUAAUUCGAGGAAUAUAUUAAUUCCAUUAUCUUGUUUCUAUAAUUAGGGUGAACUAUUUAAUGCUUUGAUUAGGGUUUUCUUGAGGGUUCUGAACAUUGAGUUUUGAGAUGAUACUUUGUUAUUUUCACUCUCUAACUUCUUGGCUUGAAAAAGCAAUUACUUUGAAGAUAAUUUAAUCAUUAUUUUAGGAUUUCUUUUGUGAUUUAAUCAGAGAAUCUCUAGUUUCUAUUCAUCUUGUGGUAAGUUUAUCUUUCAAAGCAUGAAUUCUUCUAGGUUGUUCGAUUAUUACGUCAUGAGUGGCUAAAUUCCUUUAACCUAAAUUAUGGGAUCUAGGGUUAGGUAUUGAUAAGGUACUGAGUGUUUAGGAUUCGAAAGGUGGUAGGAAUUCUUGAUAAUUCUGAUGUUUUAAUUAUUGUCUGUUGGUUGCAAAUGAUAGACAACACCUGCGUUGAUUUGCUUGAGAAAGAAAUGAAAUAUAGUGGGAAGUGAAUUAUCAACAAGGACUUGGAAACACUAAACUUCUAUUUAAUAAUCAGUGCUGUAACAAGGUUGGUUAACCUGAGGUAAAAUCUGGGUAGUGAAUAUAAAUUUCCUAAGUCCGGGAAGAUUAGGCAAUUAAAUGCUUAAGUAGGUUGAGAGACAUUUAAGCAUAACUUCGAUAAAGAUAACUUGUUGUCCUACCUGCCAUGAGAAUCUUGAACCACUAGUAGCAUUUAUCAAGUACCAAAAUCCCUAGUGACCAUAAUUCUGGUUUUUCCAUAAACUCUUGAUUACAAACACCGAAGCUAAAGUGACCAACAUUUGUUGGCUAAUAUCCAAAACCCCCAUUUUAUCUUUUCGUAUCAUCUGUUUGAAUUUAACUUGUAGCUAUAGUUUCAAAUUAGUUCAAUUGCUACUCACAUUGUUCCUUGUGGAUUCGACCCUGAUUCCAAAAAUUAGAUAAAUAUAUUGACGACGACCACCUUUCACUAAAUUGACGUGUAAGUUGAGUGUUAUAAAAAAUGGAGCCAUUUCUGGGGAACAAUUUGACAUAUUGAGUUGGUUUGGAAUUCUAGCUUACUUGCUUGAAUUCAAACUUGUAAAUAUUUGUUUUUAGUUAAUUUUAUUUUUUGUGUUAGGUAGAUUUUUAUUUUAGUUUACUUACUACUAUGGCAUCAUGGAAUGAACAUAAUCUUGGUGGUUGGAAAUCUUAUCUUGAUAUUCCAUGUCCAUAUUGUGAUGGACCUCACUUUUUGCAAGAUUGUAGAUAUGCUCCCCAGAGAGAGAUGUGUGCACCAUUUCCAUCCUAUCAGGAGUAUGAUUAUUCUGUGUGGUGGUCAAGAUGGACAUUAGAGUGAUUGCCCAAUUUCCCCCUCCCCCCAUUGUGCAAACCCAAAUUUUUGUUCAUUUUAUAAUUUUGAUAGGUCUUUUAUUCCAAAAAAGGAAGAACAAAACACCGAAAAGAGUGGCAUUGAAGCUGUGCUUCAACUAAUGUUGGAUCAUAUGGACACAACGAAUGAUAUCAUAGGUGAUAUAUGUCAAGACAUUAGGGCAUUUAACAAGGAAAAAUAAAGGAUAGGGGAGAUGGAUAUCGAGGUCAAUUAUCAAAAGCACUCUUUUGCAUUAUGUUUAAAGGAUAUAUUGUCUGUGGAAUCAUUUAGACUAAUCAAAGAGUAUGAAUAUGAAGAGCAAUAUUUCGAUACUGAUGAUGAGCUUGAAGUUGAUCAAACCUUGGAUAUUUCCCAACCAACUGAACCAACCAUGAUUAAUGAUGCCAAGAUUGGGCAAAUGGUGCUAGAGGCAAAAAAAAAAUCAAGCACAAUCCUUGUGAAUACUCUAGUCCAUUUUGGGGUAAAGAUACUAAUAGGUAUGCUACUCCAGAAGUAAGAGUUAGUCCUCAUUCGAACCACUUUUCAACAUUAUGCCUGGUGGAUGUGAUGAAAGAUGAAUCACCCAAGCAAAUAAUGAAUUUUGAAAAUAAGGAGAAAAAUUCUUACAUUUUGGAGUUUAUUUUCCAAAAGGGUAUACCACAACCCCAAUCGUUAAAGCUAAGAAGCCUAAAGAUCAAUGUCCAUUUAGUGGAUUUUUAAGAUCCUCACUGCUUCCCAAUGAAACCACACAAAAGUUUGAUGCAAAAUUGGGCAAGCGGUUCAAGUCUUCAAAGUGGUGUGAUAGAACAUUCCUUAUCAUGCCCUCACUUUUUCCCAAUGAAUCUUACAGAAGUAAAGGAUGAAUCACUUUCAAGGUAUCUCGAUAAAUUCUGAGUAGUCAAGAUAACCUGGUUGUUCCGCGACAUUAAAUCAGGCGCUGCUCGGGAGGCAACCCAAUGUCUUUUGUUGUUUGUAUUCGUAUUAUGUGAUUGACAUCAGAUCUUUGCACCCAUGAUGCCACGGGUAUGUUUCUAAAUCUGUUGUUUAAGUUUGACACAUUGGGGACGUUGCAUGAUUCUAAGUUGAGGGUGUGGGGACUACUUGUGGGUAUUGAUGUCCUCCUGGGUUUUUUGUUGCCGUGCCUUUUUUCCCUGGAGUCUUGUUCCUAGUAGAGCUGGCAUGUUUAGGUGUAUUGUAUUUUAUUUUGUGAUAUGUUGUGGUUAACUGGGAGAAAAAUAAGUAACUAUGGUAGUUGACAUAUUUUUGUCGAUUUUUGAACACCUCUCCAAAGGUCUGUUUUAUAACUGUGUGAACCUAUUUUUGCCCUGGUCCUCCUUGUACACUGUGCAACUUGACUUAGGUAAAUGGCCUAAGUUAAGGGUGGCUAUCAUAAGGGUGCGUGAUUUAAAAUGAGUAUGAAGAAAGGUAGAGUAAAAAAAAAAAAAAAAGCUAGGUGCGGUGGAAAAGAGCAAGAAAAGAAAAGUUGUGAAAACUAAGAAGUGAUUGUAGAAAAGAACCUCACCUAUCCUGAAUAAGUGUGAUUAAGAAAAGAGAAGAAUAGAAAAAGGCGAAUAAGUGAAACCCUAAAAGAUAGUGUAGUGUCAAGGAGGCUUAGUCACUUUAAAUAUCAUCGAGUAUCAUACCAUCCCCUAGCCUACAUUACAAGCCAAAGAGAAGGCCUAUUAUGAUCUUAGCUGACCUGUCUAUAAAUUUUGGUAAUGAAAAUAAGGGUAAGCCUAUGGUAUUUGACAUACACUGAUUGGAACUUUAUUCUGAGAGUGAGUGUUUGGUGAUUGUCCCUAUGGUUACAUAUGUAAUGUCAGAUUUAAGUGAAGUGGGAUUUCUUUGUAGUGAGGGCACACUGGUUAUAUUGCUAGUUACUAGCUUAUUUGGAUAGUGUAAACUUGAUACAGGCAUGGUUGUAUUGCUGAGUUGGUGCCAUAUCUUAAUUCCUGUGUGUUGCAUUGUUGUUUUUCAAUAAUAUACACUGUUGUUCUUGAAUUGACUGACCUUGGAGACGGUGAAUAUGUUUUGAUAUAAUAUAGAUGAUUGACUGCCAAAUGUACUUUGUAUUCUCUUAGUUAUGCUGAAUUGAUCUUGUGCUGAAUUGAUUAAGGACGAGAAAUUGUUUUAAGUUGAGGGUGUUGAUGUGUAAGCUAAUGCUUACACAUUUGAGGCUUUUAACUAAGAAUAAUUGCGAAGUCUUAAGCAACUUAUGUCGUUUUUGAUUGCUUUAUAUUUGAUUUUGUAGUAGAAGCUAAGUUGCUAGAGAACCAACAAGAAUGGAAACAAAUAAGCUAAAAUCUGAAGUGAUAAAGGCAAAGUGUUGCUGAUGACAUUUGUGAUAAGUCGUCAGCCCUGUGAUAAGCUAUCAACUUCGUCAUCAACAGUAGAUAGAGAAUUGGCCUAAGUUGAAAGCUGUGACGACAUUUUGUGAUAGGACGUCAAGGAGCUGAUGAGUCGUUAAGCUUGUCGUCGGCCUAAGGCAAACAUAAGAGUUUAGGAAAAGCCUUGACGACAUUAUGAUAGGUCGUCAAGGAGCUGACAGAGCGUCACCGUUUGUCGUCAGCAUUAGGCAGCGAGUACCAAAAGCAUAAAGGAAGCUGACGACAUUUGUAAUAAGUCGUUAGCCUCCUGAUAGGCUAUCACAAAUGGUGUCACCUAAUCUGAGGAAUUUCUGAAUUUUAUUAUCUUGUUUCUAUAAUUAGGGUGAACUAUUUAAAGCCUUGUUUAGGGUUUUCUUAAGUGCUCCGAACAUUGAGUUUUGAGAUGAUACUUUGAUAUUUUCUCUCUCUAACUUCUUGGCUUGAAAAAGCAAUUAUUUGAAAGGAAUUUAAUCAUUAUUUUGGGAUUUUAUUUGUGAUUUAAUAAGAAGAUCUUUAGUUUCUAUUCAUCUUGUCGUAAGUUUAUCUUUCAAAGCAUGAAUUCAUUUAGUUGCUUCGAUUAUUAUGUCAUAAGCGGCUAAAUUCCUUUAAUUUGAAUUAUGGGAUCUAGGGUUAGGUCUUGAUUAGGUGUUGAGUGUUCAGGAUUUGAAAGUUAGUAGGACUUUUUGAUAAUUCUGAUGUUUUAAUUAUUGUCUGUUGGUUGUAGAGGGAAUAGAUAACAAUUGCUUUGAUUUUCUUGAGAAAGAAAUCAAAUAUAGUGGGAAGUGAAUUAUCAACAGGGACUUGGAAACACUAAACUUCAGUUUAAUAAUCAGUGUUGUAACAAGGUUGGUUAACCUGAGGAAAAAUCUGGAUAGUGAAUAUAAAUUCCCUAAGUCCAAGAGGAUUAGGUAACUAAAUGCUUAAGUAGGUCGAGAGACAUUUAAGUGUAACUUCGAUAAAUAUAACUUGUCGUCCUACCUACCAUGAGAAUCUUGAACCACUAGUAGAAUUUGUCAAGUAAUAAAAUCCCUAGUGACCAUAAGUCUGAUUUUUCUUUAAACUCUUGAUUACAAACACUGAAGCUAAAGUGACCAACAUUUGUUGGAUAAUAUCUAAAACCCCCACUUUAGCUCUUUAUAUCAUCUUUUUAAGUUAAACUUGUAUCUAUAGUUUCGAAUUAGUUCAAUUGCCACUCACAUUGUUCCCUGUGGAUUCGACCCCAACAUCAAAAGUUGGGUAAAUAUAUUAACGACGACCGCUUUGCACUAAAUUGACAUGUAAGUUGAGCAUUAUCAAAAAUGGCUUCGCUGUCGGGGAACAAUUUGGCGUAUUGAGUUGGUUUGGAAUUCUAUCCUACUUUCGUGAAUUCAAACUUGUAAAUAUUUGUUUUUAGUUUAUUUUUAUUUCUUGUGUUAGGUGGAGUUUUGUUUUAGUUUACUUACUACUAUGGAAUCAUGGAAUGAACAUGAUCUUGGUGGUUGGAAAUAUUAUCUUGAUGAUCCAUGUCCAUAUUGUGAUGGACCUCACUUUUGGUAAGACUGUAGAUAUGCUCCCCGAAGAGAGAUGUGUUAACCAUCUCCAUCCUAUUGGGUGUAUAAUUGUUCUGUAUGUGGUGGUGAAGAUGGACAUUGGAGUGAUUGCCCAAAUGCCCCCUGCCCCCAUUGUGCUAACCCAAAUUCUAGUUCUUCUUAUGAUUUUGAUAGGUCUUUUGGUAAAUAAAAGAAAGAAUGAAGUACCGAAAAGAGUGCAUUGAAGCUGUGUUUAAACUAAUGUUGGAUCGUAUGGAUACAACGAAUGAUAUCAUAUGUGAUAUAAAUCAGGACACUAGGGUAUUUAACAAGGAAAGAUAAAGGAUAGGGGAGAUGGAUAUCGAGGUCAAUCAUCCAAAGCACUCUUCUACAUUAUGUUUAGAUGAUAUCUUGUCUAUGGAAUCAUUUAGACUAAUCGAAGAGUUUGAAUAUGAGGAGCAAGAAUCCUAUACUGAUGAUGAUCUUGAAAUUGAUCAACUCUUAGAGAUUUCCCAACCACUCACAUUGUUCCCUGUGGAUUCGACCCCGACUCCAAAAGUUAGGUAAAUAUAUUGAUGAUGACCGCCUUGCACUAAAUUGACGUGUAAGUUGAGCGUUAUCAUUUACACAACCAAAACCCUGGGCUAUGUCGUACGAGCACCCUAAGCUCACAUGAAUCGGAGGUUACCUCAAUAACCCAACCCAAACAUCUUAUCAUACAAUAAGAGUCAAAUGAACUCUAACUCACAAUUUAAAUUGUGGAAAUAAUAUCAUAAGUCAACUUAGAUUCAUGAUAACUAACUCAGACCCAAGUUCACAGUUGUUCACAAUACCUCUAUACAAAACCAAAGUCAACAAAUGAAUAUGUCGGGACAAGCCCCCAACAAUAGACAAACCAAGUCUUAAAGAGACCAAGUUUGAAGAUAAGACACCAAGCGGUACAUGUCUUUUGAAGUAAGGAAGAUCACCACUUCAAGUCAAUGCAUGAACCGCUUCAAUCUACUAAUAACUGCAUAGGAAGAGAAAAAGAUGCUCCAGCCCCUAUGUCAUAUGGGGACAUAGUAUUCGAAGAUGGUUAGCGGUUGGAACACUAGUAUGUAACUCAAGGAUAAGUGAUAAAAUAUUAACAUUAAUCAACAUCAAGUCAAUGUAUCACAUUUAAUCUCAUUCACACACAAAUCCAUACAUAUAGGUAUAUCACAUGCUAAUCAAGAUAUCAAAGCUCAUCAUUAUUCUCAAACAUUCAUUCAUUAGACAUGAAGUGGGGGACUCCGCCCGCCACACUUAUAGGUUCAACCGUUCACAUUAUGCAUAGGAUUUUAACCACAUUCACGUACACUUAGACAAGGGACUUAAACCACGCUUACUCAUUCAUUAGCCAAGGACUUUAACCGCAUACACAAUUAUUCAAACAAGGGGCACUAGCCAUACACACAUCUAAUUGGACAUAGAACUUCAACUACAUGUCCACACAUUCAACUGGGCAUGGGAAUUUGACCUCAUGCUCACACAUUAGGCAAGGGAAUCUAACCUCAUGCUAUACUUGGACUCUAGCCACAAGCCAUUCCAUUCAUCGAGGUUCUCUAACCUUAGGAGAUCUCUUUAAGCAAGGGACUUUAACCUCAAGCAAUAUCAUUGGGCAAGGGAAUCUAACCUUAAGCCACUCAUAAGGCAAAGGACUUCAACCUUAAGCCAUAACAUAAGGCAAGGGAAUUUGACCUCAAGCCAUUACGACUAUCAUUAGUUGGCAUUUGGGACUUUUACCUUUUGCCCAUGCAUAAACAUACAUUCAAUACAACAUUAAAGACUUUAACGAUUUUAGCCAAUUCAAUACUAUACAUGACCACAUGGUCCUUAUGGGAGCAUUCAUUGCUCAACCACCUCAAUAGGCCAAUGCCUUCACUUAAUUCAAGAUACAAAGCAAGUUAUAGUCAUCAAGACCUUUACAACAAUUCUAUACCACAUUCUCACCGCACUUGGGCUCAACCCAAAAUUUAAGUUCAUCUUUAUAUCUAGGGACUUUAUCCUUUGAUUAGCCAACAACCAAGGUUAUCAAUUUUAUCACACAUGAUUCAUAAUUCCUUUAGCACAUCAUUUAUCAUUAAUCCAUGUUCAAUGGUCCAUUUCCCUAGUUUAAUACAUCAUCAACAUGUGACUAGACAACUCACUUAGAUAUUUUCACAAAUACCUUGGGUGCAUACCUUUAACAAGGCCAUUGCCAUGGUAUAGAUUAUCAAGAUUAGGGUUACUCAAGACCCUUAUGUUAAUCCACAUACAAAAAUCACCCACACAUGCAAUACAUCAUCAAUAUUACAUAUAAACAUAAGUCUAAGCAAGACUUAACAUUAUGCAUCAUUAGGCAAUAAAACUCUUUUCAUAUGUUUAAAAAACCACCAUGUACACUUACUAAUGCAAGAGUGAAAUACAUGGAUUUAGAGAUAUUUAAAGAGGGGAAGAGAUACAUGCCACAAGCAAGAUGAUACUCCAAAAAUCUUGGCUCUUUUUUGCCACUAGAUGAGGUCCCUCCAAACCCUAACCUCCAAUGUUUCUUCAAGAAGCUUUUAGAGUGUUGGAGUGUUUGAGUCUUGUAAUUGAGGGCUUAAGAGGCUUAAAUUCCUUAUAUAGUGAGAGGGCUUAGGGUUUUAGGCAAGGUAAAUGACCACAAGGACCUUAGUUAAAAUCUGAAAAGUGUCCUCGUCCAGGGGUACGACUCCCUCAUACGACUCCCUUAGCAAUCGUACCCUAGGGUACGAGUAGUACCCUCUAUCGUACCCUAGGAUUCUCCUUGGUCAACAUACUAUUGUAGGUACAAGUGGGAACCCUUGAGUCAUAUCCCAAGGGUACGACUCACCCCUAACUCAUAAGCUUUACUUGUGAUAAAAAUAGUCCAAUUUGUUUGAGGCUCCCCUCUAUACGGUUGAGUAGUAAACGACUCGUAUACAUUGGUUACAACUAAGGGAAGGUUAUGUCAUAUAGGAAACAGUAUGAUACCCUUAUAGACUAAUCAAGGUACAAAAGGCGAGGACAAGGCAGGUACAAGUCAUGACCAAGGGUAAGACUCAAGCCUCCUAGUCGUACCCAACUCAGAGGCACCAAAAUGAAGUUGUUUUUAAAUCAUUCAAGCCUAGGUGUUUCAAUUCUCCCCCACUUGAAUCAUUUGUCCGCGAAUGAAUGGUAAGGAAAGUAUAAACAUAAAUUAACACAUAAACAUGCAUCAAACUGACAUAAGUUAGAAAUAAGAACACAAUAAGGAUACAACACAACACAUUUCAUGAUCAUCAUUAAUCCACCAUUUCAUAUCAUUGGUCUUGGGACUCAAACAGACUACUUAUCAAUCACUUACUCAUUUCAUAACUUAGGGACUUCAACCCAACACCUAUCAAAGACAUGAAUAAAUUCAAUGCACUACGGACUUAAACCCAUCAAAAUAAGACACACAUAGUUUCAAGCAUUAGGGACUCAAACCCAUAGUAUAACGAGGCACAAAUCAAUUCAAACUUCGGGACUUUAGCCCCUUAUGUAACAAGGCAUAACUCAAUUUCAAGCAUUAAGGACAUCAACACAUUGUCUAUCAAAGACAUAAAUCAAGCAAAGAGAUCUUACACAUACCUCCAUCACAAGCUUUCGUAAUGGGAAAUAAAUGUGGGAACUUUGACUUUAUAUCCUCUUUCACCUCCCAAGUAGCUUUCUCAGACUUUCGGUUCCUCCAUAGAACCUUCAAUGAAGCGACCUCUUUCAUUUGGAACCAGCAAACUUGACAAUCUAAGAUCUUCACUGGGACCUCCUCAUAGGACGAAGAGUCUGAGAUACCAACAUCUUCUGAGGGAACAACCAAUGAAGGGUCACCCACACAUUUCUUCAAUAUGGAAACAUGGAAAACUGGGUGAAUGGAGUCCAUACUAGAUGGUCUCAACAUAGAGGGGACUAAGCUUCCCUUUUUUGCCAAACUGUAUCACUCCUUUCAUGGGAGAUACUUUCAAGAAUACCCAGUUGCCUACAUUAAAUUCUAAGUCCCUACGCCUCACAUCUGCAUAGGACUUUUGGAGGCUUUGAGCGGUUUUCAAUCUAUCAUGAAUCACCUUCACAUUCUCUAAGGCUUGGUGAACUAAAUAGGGGCCUAACAACUUACCCUCGCCAACUUUGUACCACCAAAUAAGAGAUUGACAUCUCUGAUCAUACAAUGCCUCAAAAGGUUCCAUGCCAAUACUAGAGUGGUAACUAUUAUUAUAGGUUAACUCAAUCAAAGGCAAGUGGUCAUAACAACUACCAACACAAUCAAUCACACAAGCUCGCAACAAUUCCUCCAAUGUUUGGAUAGUUCUCUCUGCUUUCCCAUCCGUUUGUGGGUGGAAUGUGAUACUAAGGCACACCUUAGUUCCCAAAUCUCUUUUGAAUGACUUCCAAAAGUGGGAUGAAAAUAAAGGACCACAAUCCGAGAUAAUAGACAAUGGAGCACCGUGAAACUUCAUGAUCUCAGCAAGAUAUAACUUAGCAUAAUCUUCAGUUGAGAAAUUAGUUCUCAUGGAUAAGAAAUGGGCGGACUUGGUCAUUCUAUCAGUAAUAACCCAAAUGGAAUCACAUUAUUUUUUAGAUCUAGGGAGACUGGUAAUGAAAUCCAUAUUAAUUGCCUCCCACUUCCACUUGGGCAACACAACUUCUUGGUACAAACCACUGGGCCUCAUGUGCUCAACUUUCACUGGUUGACUCACCAUACACUUGGCCAUGUAGUUAGCCAUAUUUUAUUUCAUAUUACUCUACCAAUAGAACUGUCUAAGGUCAUGAUACAUCUUUGUGGAACCGGGAUGAAUAGCAUAGCGGGCUCCAUGAGCCUCCACCAUGACCCUUUCCCUCAAUCCAUCGACGUCGGGAACACAUAGCCUACCUUGGCACCUCAAGAUGCCAUAACUACCAAUCAGAAAGUCUACAACUUUAUAUUGACCCACAUUACUCUUUAUCUUCAUAAAGUAGGGGUCCAAUACUUGCGUCUCUUUUAUCUCAAAAAAAGAGAUGAUUGAGAUACCUGAUGCAAAAACAUACCACCAUUCUCAAAGUUCACUAGUAGAACGCUAAGAUUUUGCAAAUGGUGAAUGUCCUUCACCAAUUCCUGCCUGCCCUCAUCUGUAUGGUCCAAACUUCCUAUGGACACACGACUAAGAGCAUUGCCGACUACAUGUGCCUUACCGGGAUGGUAAUGAAGACUCACCAGAGAUUCAACUCCUUUUGAUUAAACACAUAUUGAAGGCUCUUAUGGUCAGAAAAGAUAUCAAUGUGGACACUAUAAAUAUAAUGCCGCCAAAUAUUCAAAGAAAAGACCAUGACUAAUAACUCUAAGUCAUAGGUGGGGUAGUUCUUUUCAUGAACUUUUAAUUGCGUAGAAGCAUAGGACACCACCCUACCAUUUUGCAUCAACACGUAACCAAGACCCAUACGAUAAGCAUCACAAUAAACCACAAAACCAUUACUACCCUUGGGUAAGGUCAAAACCAAAGCCAAAGUCAAUUUAUCUUUCAACUUCUCAAAACUUCCCUCACACAUAUCGGCCCACAAGAACUUGACCUUCUUUUGGGUCAACUUGGUCAAAGGGGAAGCUAUCAUGGAAAAAAUCUCCACAAACAUUCUAUAAUAAUUGGCUAGACCUAAGAAACUCAGAAUAUUGGUUGGAUUCGUAGGUCUAGGCCACUUCUUAACUGUCGCAACCUUUCGGGGAUCUACCAUAAUCCCUUCACUAGAGAUGACAUGACCAAGAAAAGCUACGGCUUUUAACCAAAACUCACACUUAUAGAAAUUGGCAUACAAAUGGUGAUCCUUCAAGGUUUACAACAUCGCACGGGGGUGAGCUACAUGAUCCACCUCACCCUUAGAGUACACUAAGAUAUCAUGGAUAAAGUAAAUGACAAAUAUAUCUAAGAAUAGAUAGAAGACCCUAUUCAUUAAAUCUAUGAAUGCCGUCGGGGCAUUGGUCAACCCAAAAGACAUAACAAGAAACUCAUUGUGACUAUAUCAGGUUUUAAUGGCCAUCUAGGGAUAUCCGUAUCCCUGAUCUUAAGCUGAUGAUAACCCAAUCUAAGAUCAAUCUUAGAGAAACACUUCGCACCCUGAAGCUGAUCAAAAAAAUCAUUGAUCCUAGGAAGAGGAUAUCUAUUCUUUAUGAUCACUUUUUUCAACUAACGAUAAUCUAUGCACAUACGAAGGGAACCAUCCUUCUUGUGCAUGAACAACACGGGAGCACCCCAUGGAGACAAACUAGGAAGGAUAAAACCUUUAUCUAAGAUGUCUUUCAAUUGCUCCUUAAGCUCUUUUAACUCUACUAGAGCCAUUCUAUAAGGAGGUAGGAAAUCGAACGAGUGUCUGAAACAAGAUCAAUCUCUAAACUGAUUUCUCUAUUGGGAGAAACACCAAGAAGAUCAUUGGGAAACACCUCAGAAAACUCAUUCACCACAUUAAGGAUUCUAGGGAAGGCUCUUUCGAGUUAGAAUCUUUAACUCAGACUAAAUGAUACAAACACCCCUUUACAAUCAACUUUUUACCUAUAAGAUAAGAAAUGAAUCUUCCAUUAGGAACUAGAGAACCACCUUCCCAUACAAUUACUGACUUAUUAGGGAAUUUGAAGAUGACCCUACGGGUCUGACAAUCUAAGGAAUCAACCAAGAAUGCAACCAAUCCAUCCCCAAAAGACAUCAAAUUCAACUAUGUCCAACUGUAUCAAGUCUUCAAGAGUAUCUUUAUAACCAAUAGACAUUACACACCACUUAUAAGCUCUUCUAACAAUCACAGAGUCUCUAACAGGAGUAGAAAUAGAAAAAAGAACCGAUAGAAUCUCGAGACCAUAAUCAAGAUUCAUAGCCACAUACAGGGUCAUAUAAGAAAGAGUAGACCCUAUAUCAAGCAAACAAUAUACGUCAUGGAAGAAAAAUCACAACAUACCCGUGACAACAUUAUGAGACGCCUCAGAAUCUUGGCGAGUAACAAGUGCAUACAAGUGGUUCCGGACAACACUGGCACCAAAAACAUAAGCAGAGACAGACAUAGCAUUUUUUGGUAUGGAAGGACGUGGAGUAGCAAUAGGGGCCUUGUUGGCCCAAGAAGCUGCUAGAGAGAGGAACUUACACUGCAUGCUCCCAACCUAACUAUAAUGAAAACACCUGUUUCUUCAUUUCUUACACUAAUCGUGAUCACUCUUACCAUAGAAUCUACAAGAAGGGAUGGGUAGAGCCGACUAAGCAUCACUAGACUAAAAUUGGGCACUUGGUGCCCAAAAUCCGCCACUAAAAUGAGAUCGACGAUCACCGGAUGACUUCAGGUAAGGAGACCAAAUAUUAGAUGAGGAGAAAGAAUCCAAGCUCCCCUACUUCUUUCAUGGCCACUUGCCACUAUCUCUACCAUAACUCUCAGAAGGCCUAAAUAUUUUGACCUGCCUCUCACUAGGCUCAACUUGCUUCUUUUUCUCUUUCUCUACUUAUUUCAAAUACAUAAUAAACCUAGAAAUAUCUAUGUUCUUAAUCAACAAGGUUGCUUCGCUCUCAAGAACUAACUUACGGGAUAAUCCCGAGACAAACUUACGCAUAGCCCUUAUGCUAGAAACCAUCUCGGGAACAUACCUUGACAAUUGAUGAAAUUUCAAGACAUACUCUUGAAAGAACAUCCUCCAUUGCAUUAAUUUCACAAACUCUUCCACCUUUGUUUCCCUUAACUCUUGAGGAAAGAAGCAGUCUAAGAAAGCCUCUGAGAAAUCCACCCAAGAAGCCGGACUAGUAUCAACACCUCUAGAAAACUCCCACCCUUUGUACCAUUGGUACGCUACAUCUUUCAAUUGUUAUAAAGCAAGCUCAACACCCUUAAUUUCUGAAGCUUGCAUGAUUUGGAAAAUUUUCUCUAUUUCAUCGAUGAAGCCUUAAGGAUCUUACUCAACAUUCGCACCUGUGAACAUAGGAGGGAUCAACUUUAUAAAUUGGCUAAUUCUUGUGGCCUCAGAAUAAAUAAUAGCCGGAGCACCACACUCUGAUUAAGAGGACACUAAUUGAGCCAAGAGGUUGAUAGAGUAAUGAAUCUUUACAUUAGAAGCAUUUCCUUAAGGGGAUUGAGGAGGAGCAUCAUUCUCAUAAGCAGGGUUGGUGGGUGAAACCACAUGAGGAUGGCUAGAUACUGCAUCCUUAGCCCAGGUCUGAACACCAAAAGUUGGACGAACUUUGUCCAUAGGACCCUCAGUUGGGGCCAAAGUGUUUGCCUGAGUCUCAGAUCUCCUUGGAGGCAUGAUCUGAAAAAAGGCCAACAAAAUUAGAGGAAUUCAAGACCUUAGACAUUAUAGCCUAAGAUUGAAACAUAAGAAAAAGAAACAUUCCUAAGAUGUCUCAUAGCAUAUCUUUUACAAGUUUGGUGCGCUAAAUACCUAUAAAAGAGACUGUACUUGACAUGACAUUGUGAAAAACCAACUGACCAACUAGGCUCUGAUACCAACUUAAUACGAUCUAAACCCUAGGCCAUGUUAUAUGGGCACACCAACCUCACAUGAACCAGAGGUCUCCCUAAUAACCUAACCCAUGCAUCUCAUUAUACAAUAGGAUUUGAAGGAACUCUAACUCACAAGUUACGAUUGCAAAAAUAAAAUCAUAAGUCAACAUUAGAUUCAUGAUAACUAACUCGCACCGAAGUUAAUAGUUGUUUAUAAUACCUAUAUGGAAAAACAAAGUCAAUAAAUGCAUAUGACGAGACAAUCCCCCCACAAUAGCCAAAACAACUCUUAAAAAGACAAACCCUAAAGAUAAGAGACCAAGAGGUGCAUGUCUUUCGAAGUAAAUAAGCUCUCAAUUUCAAGUCAAUGCACGUGCUGCUUGAAUCUACUAAUCACUGCGUAUGAAGAGAAGAAGAUACUUUGACCCCUAUGUCGCAUUGGGAUAUAACAUCCAGAGAUGGUUAGCGGUUGGAAUGCUAACAUAUAGCUAGAGGAUAAGUGAUAAAAUAUCAUCAUCAAUAAACAUCAAGUCAAUAUAUCAUAUUUUAUCUCAUUCACACACUAAUAUAUACAUAUAGAUAUAUCACAUGCUAAUCAAGAUAUCAAGGCUCAUUAGUUUUCUCAAACAUUCAUUCAUUAGACAUGAAGUAGGGGACUCCAACCCUCCACACUUAUAGGUUCAACAAUUCAUAGUAUGCAUAGUACUUUAACCACCUUCACAUGCACUUAGACAAGGUACUUCAACCAUGAUUACUCAUUUUUUAGCCAAGGAUUUUAACCGCAUAUGCAAUCACUCAAAUAAUGGGCUCUAGCCAUACACACAUCCAAUUGGACAUAGGACUUUAACUAUAUGUACACAUAUUCAAUUAAGCAUGGGACUUAUACCUCUAUCUCACACAUUAGGAAAGGGACUUUAACCUCAUUCUACACUUGGACUCUAACCAUAAGUUGUUCCAUUUGGUGAGGUUCUAUAACCUCAAGAGAUCAUUUUAAGAAAGAAACUUUAACCUUAAGAAAUAUCAUUGGGCAAGGGAAUUCAACCUCAAGCUAUUCAUAAGGCAAAGGACGUCAACCUCAAGCCAUCAUAUAAGGCAAUGGACAUUGACCUCAAGAAAUCACGACUAUCAUUAGUUGGAAUUUAAGACUUUAACCCUUUUCCUAUGCAUCAACAUACAUUCAAUUGAACAUUUAAGGAUUUUAACCAUUUGAGCCAAUUCAAGACUAUGCAUGACUACAUGGUCCAUAUGGGAGCCUUCAUUGCUUAACUACCUCAAUAGGUCAAUGCCUUCACUUAAUUAAACAUACAAAGAAAGUUAUAGUCAUUAAAACCUUUACCACAAUUCUAUACCACAUUCUUACCACACUUGGGUGCAACCUAUAAUUUAAGUUCAUCUUUAUAUCUAAGGACUUUACCCUUUCAUUAUCAAACAACCAAGGUUACAAAUUUCAUCACACAUUAUUCAUAAUUCCUUUAACACAUUAUGUAUCAUUCAUCCAUAUUGAUUGGGCCAUUGACCUAGUUUAAUACAUCAUCAACAUAUGACUAGACAACUCACUUAGAUAUUUUCACAAACACGUUGGAUACAUACCUUUAACAAGGCCAUUGCUAUGGUAUAUAUUAUAAAGAUUAGGGUUACUCAAGACCCUUAUGUUAAUCCACAUACAAAAAGCACCCAGACAUAUAGUUCAUCAUCAAUAUCACCUAUAAAUAUAAGUCUAAGAAAGAUUUAACAUCAUACAUCAUUAGUCAAGAAAAUAAUUUUUAUUUGGUUUCAAAACCACCAUGUACACUUAAUAAUCCAAGAGUUUGGAGAUAUUUAAAGAGGGGAGAAGAUAUAUGCCUUAAAGAAGAUGAAACACCAAAAAUCUUGGCUAUUUUUUGCCACUAGAUGAGCUCCCUCCAAAACCGAGCCUCUAACCUUGCUUCAAGAAGCUUUCAGAGUGUUUUAGAGUAUUUGAGUCUUGUAAAUGGCGGGUUAGAAGGCAAUAAUGCCUUACAUAGUUAAAGGAAAAAGGAUUUUAGGCAAGAAAAAUGACCACAAUUUCUUUAUUUAAAAUAUUAAAAGUGUCCUCAUCCAGGGGUACGACUCCCCCAUACGACUCCCAUAGAAAUCAUACCCUAGGGUACAAGUGGUACCCUAAAUCAAACCCUAGGCUUUUCCUAGGUCAACCAUACUAUUUUGGGUACAAGUGGGCACUCUUGAGUCAUAUCCAAAGGGUAUGACUUACCCUUAACUCGGAAGCUUCACUCAUAACAAAAAUUAUGCACUUGGUUUGAGGCUCCCGUCUCUACAGUUAAGUAGUAUAUGACUUGUAUGCAUUAGCUAUGACAAAAGAGAGGUCAUGUCGUAUAGGAAAUAGUAUGAUACUCUCAUUCACUAAUCAAGGUACGAAAUAGGAGGGCAAUGUAGGUAUUAGUUGUGACCAAGGGUGCAACUCAAGUCUCUUAGUCGUACCUAACUUAGGGGCACAAAAAUAAAGUUGUAUUUCAAUGAUUCAAGACUAUGUUUUUCAAUGUUGAACUAGACUGAACCCAUAUAAGAAUUGUACAGCUACGGGAAGAUCCCAUGGUUGUGGGUUCAAUUAUCUAAGUAAUGUGGAUGGAAGUCUCACGAGUUACACAAUUGGGAGUUAUGCUAUGAUGGGUUAUAGAGAUUGUACUUAGCUGUCAAGAUCAUGGUACACAUUGUCUGAUGAAACUCUUGUAGGCCAUCAAUAUAGGCAUCGAACCUAUGAGUUUAUGGAAUGAUCAUUAUUAGGUAUAACAAUCGUUUUUAAGCUUCUUAGGUUCUAAGGUAUGUUUUCUUAAAUAGCCAUAGUACAAGAGACAAUUACAAUCUGGUUCAUUACCAUGAUCAUAUAGUCAAGUCUUCUAUUAUGUCUUUUUGUUAAAUGAAAUUGAAACCCGACCUAAUCCAACUCAAUACUAAACCCUAAAAUCCUAUAACUAAGAUACAAUUCAUUAAAACUCAAAUUGGAUCAAUUACAAUCAAGAGAGUAAAAUUAAAGAAAUUCAACCUCUAAUUUAUUUAUAUUAAGUGAUUCAACCUCUUUGUUCAUCAAGUACUCCACAAAUUAACAAAAAAUCAGUAAGUAAAACUAUAUUUUUUUAUUUUUAAUGUCAAAUCAUAGAAAAUAAGUUUAGAUCAAGUUUGUAAUGUAUAAGAAAAUUAUAGAUUGAGUUUAGAAUGAGUAAGACCGAUUGAGAAGUCUUGAGUACCUAAGCAUUCGGUUAAAUUUAUGGCCAAUGAAGGUUAAAAGAGGGCCAAAAUCUUAUGUUAAAAUCUGGUUAAGUGUUAGUAUACUCCAUGACACAACCUACGAUCGUGGUACCUAUAUAUGAUCAUAGGUUGAGUUAUUAUGGGUCCUAGUUCAAAUCUAGUAAGUGCUCAUUAUAUGAGCACAUCCCAUAAUCACCCUAUCUAGGUACGAUUAUGUUAUAUACUCAUCUAAUAAGACAUACCCUUAUUACUUUAGUGAUGAUCCUAUGAUCAAAAGGUAUAAUCGUACCUUUAUUACAGGAUUAUAGGAUAGAGACGUCUGAGCACAUGUCUUUCCAGUGUUUUUAUAGAACCCUUCCUAUGAUCGAAAGGCACGAUCCUGCCCUCAUUGAAUAAUUGUAGGAAGGCUCUUCUGAUACAUUUACUAAACCUAUUUAAAUUUUCAAAAUUAAUACUAACUUUUUCCCAUACAUGUACAAUGGCAAAAAAGGCACAAACAAAGCUACAAAAGAAAAUAUCCAAGAUAAAUGAACCCAAUGACAUACCUCCAGUCUUGGAGAAUGAGUACAACAACUCAAGUGGAAUUGAGAUGGACUUUUCCCCAGUUCCAUAUAAGAAAAAUAAUUCCCUCAAAUCACGAGGGAUAAGGUAAAAAAGAUAUACCAAGCCAAGUUCAUAUAUAUAUGUCCGUGGUUGAGGCCACAACCCCAAUAAACCCACCAGUCUGAAGAGAGAAGGAACUAAGGUUGUAAGAGGAUUCUGAAAAAGAGAGUUUAUCAAAGAAAGAGAAGGAUAUGUCCAACCCCAAAUCCUCCGAGGGUGCUAUUACUAUACUUUAAAGGGGAAUGGAUUUGAUAUGUUGGAUAGUCCCAAAAGUAUAGGGACUAUUACAAUGAUGGGGUCUCAGUGAUAGAUCAGGGAACAAGAAAAAGAAUAUUUAAGAAGAACCCUAGAUACUGCUAGAGUCCCUCUAGAAUAUUCCAGCCUUAGUUCAAGUAUUUGAGAAGUAUGAGCGGGGUUAAUGACAAGAUCCCUAUAGAAUUAUGAGUCGAAGUUGGUGUGUAAGUUGUAAACCAACUAUAGGGCUAUGCUGGAUAAUAUGACUCCUUUGGGGAAGUAGAAAGACAUGAAAAAAUAUCCUAGACUCACUAUACUGGUCGGGGAAGGAGAACGACAUGAAAAAAUAGCCUAGACUCACUAUAUGAGUCUGGGAUACUAAGGUCGACAUCUCUAUCGAGCCAUCUCUAAAGCCUUGUUCAGAGACAUAUUUAAGCAUACUGAGUAGACCGUAGAGUAUAAAUUCUAGAUGAAUGAUUUAAAGCAAGUUAAAAUUCUAAAUAUGGAUGAUAAAGUGAUGCACUAUAUAUGGUUGGAGUGCCACAUUGCUGAAGUAGGUGACAAUGCCCUAUGGAUCAAUGGGACUGUAAUAUACAAGCAUAGUCUAAAGGAUACUACCUAUGUUUUGUGAUUAAUUUUCACACACCAAAUCACACCUACAACCAGUGAUAAUACAUUAGAUACAACCAAUGCCUAUCUAGUAGUUGCUUUUAUUUUGGGAGUAGAUUUGAACAUCCCAUGAAUCAUCAUAGAGGAGAUACGAGAUAGGGUACUCCAAUUUAGCACCACAUUACCAUUCAGCUUACUAAGGUGACUGACAUGGCGCUCAUAAAGGAUAUAAUUAACCUAAUUUCCCCAAUGAGAUGUCUUGAUAUUCUAGAUGUAGUUGGUGGUACGACAAGUAGUGACUUAUCGAUGUCCAAUAUCGGUACUGCUUUCUCUUCUGCACCACUGACAUUCGUUCAUAGUCAACCAUUAGUUUUGGCUAAAUAUAUAUUGAUUCUAACUUCACCAUUGGAAUAGAUCAUUUCGAUCCUAUUAACACAAUAUUAAGAUUAAUAAGUUAGAUGUUAGGGUUAAUCCCUAUGUUAGUGAUGAGAUUUGGGGUUAUUUAGGAUAGUACAAACCUAAGCAGAUAGGCUUGGGAGCCAAAUGCCGACUAGGAUAGAUGUAGUCUAGGCACUAAAUUUGACUGAUAUUAGGGUAGACCUAACCAAGCUUAAGAAAGUAAUUAGGGUAUUGACUGAGAGAAUUGAUGAUCCACCUCUUUUACCACCACAUAUGACUUCAUUCGUAUUUUCUAUGAUGGACGUGGACUCAUUGGUUCUUAAUGUUUAUACUUUUAAACCAAAUAAGAGGAGAUAGAUGUUGAGGUGAUGAGAAAACACUUGAAGCCUCGAAAGAGCAGGAGAGGUGUUAAGAUUGAUAAAGAGGAAAAACAGAAGUUGCAUAAGAAGCAAAAGAAGAAGAGAAAAAAGAUAAUACAACUGGGCAAACCUUUGAGGCAUUGAUACUAGAGAGGGAUGGGAUACCACCUACCACAGAGGUGGUUGCACAAACUAGAAAGGGUACGGAGUUUUUCACCAAAUUGAGUACCUUGUACUCCCACCGAUGCCAACUCAUUUGAGUGUACCACAACCAUAGACGAUGCCACUAGAUUGGAGUAGACUAUUAGGUAUCAACCUUUAUUCCCUCCUAAUCAGAGUUCUAUUGGUGCCAAAAGAACCACAGGAUUGUCCCUUACCCUAGCUUUUAGAUUUCAAUGAUUUCGUUCAGUGGGAACAUCGCAUAAUUUCCAAGUUAAAGGUGAAGGUGUAUCAUGAUAGAGGAUUUUUCUUGUUAUGUUUCUUUUCCUUCGUUGUGCUAUCUAUUUAGAACUAAUAUUUUAAAGUAUUUUUAUUAUUCUCUAUGUUGUUUUGUUAUUUUUUGUGUAACUUAGAGUAAUUUGAGAAAACAAGGAGUAGAAAAAAUAAAAAAGCAUGCAAACUUGUUCUGAAAUCUUAAAAAAAAUAUCUUUCCAAAAGUUCUAUUUUAUUUUGUAAGUGUUUUGUGUUUGCAUGAGUUGUAACCAAUGUUAGGAUCUAGAUAUGCCAUUAAGAUUGUUUUUAUGAUAAAUUGGAUGACCUUGCAUGAACUCUGUAGGAUGUAUCUUAGACGAACCUCUGAGCCAUGAGUAAGAUUUUUACCUAGUCGGCAUGUAUGUGUGAUCUGAAACUUGCUGGGUUAGUCUCUCAAAAGAUAUAGGAUAGGAAGUUGGGAAAGAAUCAUAGGUCAUGUUUGAAAAAGUUCAGUAUAUCUUAAAUAACAUAAAAAAUGAUCAUGUAUUCCUUGCACCCAAAUUUUGAGGCCUAAUAGACAUUUUCUUUGAACUAUCCAAUUCACCUUCCCAAUUUUUACAAUGAAUCUUCCAUAGCCCUAGUUCUUCCUUUGGAUACUGUGUACCUCAACUCAGUCGAAUCACCUAAGUUGAGGGUUUUUUUUAUGUAGGGGUAUGUAGAAAGUGGGCAUGGAGGAUUAGUAGUAAAAGAAAAAAGGAGUCGGGUGUGGUAUGAGAAAAAAAGAAUAAAGAAAAAUAAGUAAAAAACAUGUUUAUGUGUUUUUAUUGUUUUCUAUGUAAUUAAGUGUAAUUUGAGAAAACUUGAUACGUUCGAAAUAUAAAAAUGUGAACUUGUUUUGAAAGAUUAAAAAUGAUGCCCCUCCAAAAGUUUUGUUUUUUUGUUUUUAAGUGUUGUGUGUUUUCCUGUGUUGUAAAUAGGAUCUAGAUAUGACAUUAGGAUCAUUAGUGCGAUAACCUGACCAACCUUGCAUGAGCUCAGUAGGUAAUAACUUAGACAAAUUCCCUAAGCCAAGAGUGGGUAAGGUUUUUACCUAGUCGGAGUGUGUGUGCAAUCUAGAACUUGCCCAGUUAGUCUUCCCAAAUAUAUAGGUAGGAAGUUAGGAAAGUAUCAUAGACCAUGUUUGAAAAAAUUCACUAUACCUUAAAUGACCUACCAAAUGAUCAUGUAUCUCUUGGACCCAUAUUUUGAGCCUUAACAGUCCUUUUCUUUGUACCACCUAAUCCACCUUCCCAAUUCUUACAAUGAACCUUCUUUGUCCCUGGUCCUUUCUUAGAAAUUGUGUUCCCCAACUCAGAUAAAUCACUUAAGUUGAGGGGGCUAUUGUGUAGGGGUGCGUAGAAAGUUUAUAUGAAGGAUUAGUAGUAAAAAGGAAAAAGGAUUCGGGUGCAGAAUGAGAAAAGGAGAAAAAAAAUAGGGAGAAAAGAUAGAAAGAUAAAAGAAAAAAAUAGUGAAUUAUGAAAAUAAAACCGCACUCAAGGUCUAAACAGGAAAUGAAAAUAUGGAAAAGGGAGAAUAAUGCAUGAAAGUAGGAAAGUGGAGCCAUAAGUAGUGUAGUACCAAAGAGGAUUAAGUCACUAUACCCAAAUGCGCCACACCUAUUUACAAGCCUAUUUACAAGCCUAGAAAAGACCUAUAGUGAUCCUAACUCGACUGUUCAAAAGCUGAAGCAUAGAAAAUAAGGGCAAGCCUAUGUUAUCAAACACACACAACAUGACUUUUUUUGUGAGGGUGAGAGAUUUAAUUCAGUUCCAGUUAAUAAAUUCAUCACAUCAACUGAGUGAUUAGGGUACUUUUUUGAUAUGAGGGCGUAAGGGUUAUAGUCUAGGUGCUGCUUAGUUAGGUAGUGUAUUGGUCUAUGUGUUAGGUUAUCUAUUCAUAAAGGUGAAGGGUGUUGAAAAUGUUUAUGUUGUUUGUAUGCAUGAAAAUUGUCUUUAUACAAGUAACUACCAUAGUGAUCUUGAUUUGCUGUAAGUUAAGCGUCAUAGUUAGUCUAGUUUAUUUUUUGCCUAAAAACAUGCAAAUAUUCUAAGUUGAGAGGUUUUAUGUGUCUUGGAUUUUCUGCAUUUAAGAUACUUAAAACUGUGAAUAUUUACAAGCAUGAGAAAUGGUGGAUUUUUGCAUGAUUGUAGGAUAAAUAGACUCGUAGAAAUAAAGUGCUAAAAGUUUAGCUUAAGGAGCAUCAGAUGAUCAAAUCCAUGAUUAUGGGAUCUGACCAUGGUCAUAACAAGCAUGUCGUAUAAGGAAUCAUAAGAUGGUUUUAAGAGAUCAUAGGAAGAUUUUUCAAAAUCCAUCUAUAGAAGUUAACUGAAGAGGAUCAAAUGGUAGCAUCAUAUGAUCAUACAUUGAAGUAAUGAUCGUAGCAUAAGGUUGUGGGUAGGAAGUCCAGAAUUGCAAGACCUAGAGGUUGAGGUAAAAGAUGAUCAAACAAUAAUAUAGAACCAUCAUAGGUUGAUACCAACCUUACUGAGAACCAUACCAGUGAAGAUUUGAAGAUGAAAAUCCAUGAUCCAAAUCAUGAGUAUCAAAGGAUGGAUCAUGGGUUCUAACCACGAUCGUACCUUCUUGUCGUUCGAGGCCACCAACCCAAAUAUCAUAUUUUGUUUAGGAUAAGAGUUAUUUUGUUUAUAAAUACUCUUAUAGGGUUAUUUUUAUGAUUUAUACUAUUUUAUAUGUGUUUACACUAUUUUAUAUUUUACAAUAUUAUAUUGUGAGAUUAUAAGGCAUGCUUUCUGAAUUUUAUGAACAUUGUUUCUAGGGUUUUGAUUCAAGUUGAGAUUUUGGAGUUUUAUUCUUAUUGUAAAUUCACAAUAAUGUUUUCAUUAAUGAAUUCUUCUUGUGUUCUUGAAAUCAUGAGUAUCUAACAAUCAUAAUUAGGGUUGUGGGAACCAUGAUGAAUUAACAAGAUAAGUUACGUGUGGCGCAAUUCUAAACUGGUGUCCUUGCAUGUAUCUGUAUUUCCUUCAUUAUGAUUAAUCGUCUAAUGGAUGCAAACAUUUGAAAAUUUCCUGUAUUCUAAACUUUCUUAGAGAGAGCUAGAUAUGAGAAAAACCAAAUAACAAUAGAUCUUUGAAGCUACCAACCUUUAUCUAAUAACUUGAGCCAUGACAAAGAUAGUUAAUCGAAGAUCAAGAAUAUCUUAGUAGCAAGACACUUAGAGUCUGACAUGAGCAGAGUAAAAUUCAUCUAACCAACGUAAAUAGAUGUUUAGAUGAUCUUAUAUUGUCAAAUUUUGCAUGCAACACAUCGGAAUAGUUUGCUAGCAUGAGAAACCCGUGUAGCUAUUAAGUCAUAGGGAACAAAAUCAUAGUACUUUAUCAUAUUGAUUACAACUCCAGUAAUCAAUAAUUGUUAUUAUUGCUCUUUUGUUUCACAAAAUUCUUCCUUCUUUUACUUAUUCGUCAGUUACCUAGACAAAAACAUGAUUGAAUUUCGUCCUAUUCUCUAUGGGUUUGAUUCCAACCUUGUUGGAUUCUAUUUUUGAUUAAAAUACCAUUUUAUACUUUUUAGGAGGUGUUAUUUGAACAACAUCAAGCUACAACCAUACAAAAAGAGAUCGAGGAUGAAAAACUGUAAUCACAGAGAAGGAAAAAUAAAGAAACACAACAAACUAUCAAUAACCAACACCAUAAGCAAAUCAAUAAUGUUUGUGCUUAUUAAUCCAAAAAUCAAAAUAAUAAAUUCAUUUUGAGAUCCACCAAAAUCUACUUAGAUAGGAAUAAAUAAAAAAAUUCUAUUAUUCUUCUUCAUUCAAAAAAUAAAGAAAUUCUAUUCUUCUAGGAAAAAAAUUGUUGGUUCUUAUUUUAUUUUUUUCAAAUGUACUACUCUACAAUAAAAGUCGAAAGUUUUAAAUUUUUUAGCUAGCAUCUCUGUUAUCACCUUAAAUUUGCAGAUCCAAUUAUGAAAUUUCUUAUAAUACAAAACAAAAUUCUAUAGAUCUUAUAACACAAUCUUCUCAAGUUAGAAACACAACAAUCAUAUUAGAUCUUCUUUCAUUAGAAUUUUGGAAGUUGGAGAGAAACCCAAACAUAAUAUAAAAUGCAUAACCUAAAAAUCAUAAUAUGGUAUAAUUUUUUUUGAUAAAUAAACAUACCACAUAGAAGGUCGAGAAUUUCAAGAGAGAUACCACAUAGAAGAGGCGCAGAUGCUCUUUCCUGUAUAUGCACAUGCAUUGAAAAGAAAAGAAAAAGAGAUGGAGACAUAAAACUUCAAAGGAUAAAUCUGAAUGUUAUGUGUCAAUUGAAUAACAAAUGUAAGACACGCAGGGUAAAAUAAUAUGUAAAGCAAUAAAUGUUAAAUUACCAAAACACUCUUGUUCUAAAAUUAAUUGGCAAGUAGCACAUAUGUUAAAACCACUCUUUAUAUAUGUUUUUAACAAAUUUUAAAGUGAUAAAAAAGAGAUUGUAAUCACAAAUAAGAUAUGAUUAAACAAGAUUUUGCUGAUGAAUAUUUGUGAGUACAGUUUUCUUUCUCCUUUGACUCUUCUAACUAAAUUUUCUUCAUGAUUCAAUAAUUCACGAGCUUUUAGAAGUAGCAUAUUUCUCAAAUGUAGGAUGAGUUGGACCUUCUUGUGAUGUAUUUAAUUUUUAGGAUUGUUAGACAGUUACUUUCAUAAAAAUGAUAUUUGACAUGAUGAUCUCUUUAUGAAUAUCCCAAAGAACUUAUAGGAUCGCAAGAUGCCUGAGAACAUAUGUUACUAUUUUACUAGAUGUGAUUUAGGAUUUAGGACAGAUUAGCCUCCUAGAAACCUAAUAGAAUUGGACAACAAAAUUUCAAUGCCUACAAAUAUUCCCUUACCCUUCUUCAAGGCUCAUCGGAGCGUAAACUCAUGAAACUCAAAGAAAAAUGAUGCUUUCAUCUUCGCAUUUUUGUUGCUUCAGAUUUGCAGAUCUAAUUUGUGAGAGAGGAGAUGAAUGUCAGAUUUGAUUCCACUAGCGUGUUAAUUUGAUGCCGCA